CCUUCCUCUUCCGACCUUCCUCAUCGCGCUUCCCUCACCUUGGUAGGGCUCUGUCUGUUCCUCACUUCCUCGUCGUCCUCCACGCCCAGUAGCGGCAUCUCCUCCAAGCAGCAGGAGCUGGGUCGUCCUCCACGAACAUCAUUCUUCGUUUCUUCCAGGACUUAAAGAGGAGUCACCAACAUUUGAUUCCAUUCAAUUCACCCUUCACAAACCCUAAUUUUCAACCAGAGUGAGCAUGAAAGAUGGCACCAACUCUACCUCGGACUUUUUGAUGGAAUUCUUGGUAGCAGCUUGACUUGUCAGAGUUGCUCAUCCCAGAUCUCAAUUAACUUAAAACAAUUUGAU